rnacentral:lncRNA from 1 species
GGCCGCCAUGCUCAUAAGACUGGCAGAGUAGUGGUGCCACGGGGUAAUGAUGCCCUGGACUUGCGUGCUGCACGUGGCUCCACUACCCUGGAACUGAUAAGAUCAGUUUAUUGAGGGUUGAGGUGGCACGCGAUAGGGCAUCCCCCUGGCUGGCAGUGUCCACACUCUCUGGAUCAGUCCAGGGACUCUGCUCUCAGGACAGGAGGCAGGACAACCAACCAGAGAAGGCCUGUCUCUGGAUCAGUCCAGGGACUCUGCUCUCAGGGCAGGAGGCAGAACAACCAACCAGAGAAGGCCUGUCUCUGGAUCAGUCCAGGGACUCUGCUCUCAGGACAGGAGGCAGGACAACCAACCAGAGAAGGCCUGUCUCUGGAUCAGUCCAGGGACUCUGCUCUCAGGACAGGAGGCAGGACAACCAACCAGAGAAGGCCUGUCUCUGGACCAGUCCAGGGACUCUGCUCUCAGGACAGGAGGCAGGACAACCAACCAGAGAAGGCCUGUCUCUGGACCAGUCCAGGGACUCUGCUCUCAGGACAGGAGGCAGGACAACCAACCAGAGAAGGCCUGUCUCUCUGGAUCUUGAUUACUUUGUCGUUGUUUUGGUUCUCCAGCUCCUGUCACUAUUGGAUGAAUGGAAUGUAUCACUUUCCAAAGUCUGAGGGACAAACCCGUCCACAGGCCUAACUCUGAGGGACAAACCCGUCCACAGGCCUAACUCUGAGGGACAAACCCGUCCACAGGCCUAACUCUGAGG